GAUGAACGCUGGCGGCGUGCCUAAUACAUGCAAGUCGAGCGAACGGACCAGAAGCUUUCGUCUCUGAGUUUAUCGGCGGACGGGAGAUUAACACAUGUAUAACCUACCUAUAAGACUGGGAUAACUUCGGCAAACCGUGUCUAAUACCGGAUGAUAUUUUGCACCUCAUUGUUCAAGAGUUAGAGUCGGUCUUUCUGUCACUUAUAGAUGGAUCCGCGCUGCAUUAGCUAGUGGGUAAGGUAACUGCUUACCAAGGCAACGAUGCAUAGCCGACCUGAGAGGCGGAUAGGCAAAGCUGGAAUUGGGACACGGUCAAGCAUCCUACGGGAGGGAGCAGGAGGGAAUCGUCAGAAAUGGGAGCAAGCCGGACGGAGGAACGACGGGUGAGAGAUGAAGGUAUCAGGAUCGUAAAACUGUGUUAUUAGGGAAGAACAUAUGUGUAAGUAACUGUGGACAUCUUGAAGGUAACCAAUAAGAAAGCCACGGCCAAAUACGGG
rnacentral:rRNA from 1 species